rnacentral:rRNA from 1 species
GCAGCAGCCGCGGUAAUACAGAGGGUGCGAGCGUUAAUCGGAUUUACUGGGCGUAAAGCGUGCGUAGGCGGCUUCUUAAGUCGGAUGUGAAAUCCCUGAGCUUAACUUAGGAAUUGCAUUCGAUACUGGGAAGCUAGAGUAUGGGAGAGGAUGGUAGAAUUCCAGGUGUAGCGGUGAAAUGCGUAGAGAUCUGGAGGAAUACCGAUGGCGAAGGCAGCCAUCUGGCCUAAUACUGACGCUGAGGUACGAAAGCAUGGGGAGCAAACAGGAUUAGAUUCCCGGGUAGUCCCUGUCUCUUAUAC